rnacentral:rRNA from 1 species
AGAGCGAACGCUGGCGGCAUGCUUAACACAUGCAAGUCGCACGGCUGGGGUAACUCAGCAGUGGCGGACGGGUGAGUAACGCGUAGGUAUCUAUCUCUGGGUGGGGGACAACCGUGGGAAACUACGGCUAAUACCGCAUGAAGCCUGAGGGCCAAAGCAGCAAUGCGCCUGGAGAGGAGCCUGCGUACGAUUAGCUUGUUGGCGGGGUAAUGGCCCACCAAGGCGACGAUCGUUAGCUGGUCUGAGAGGAUGAUCAGCCACACUGGGACUGAGCACGGCCCAGACUCCUACGGGAGGCAGCAGUGGGGAAUCUUGCGCAAUGGGCGAAAGCCUGACGCAGCAACGCCGCGUGGAGGACGAAUGCUUUCUGAGUUGUAAACUCCUUUCAGCAGGGACGAUUGUGACGGUACCUGCAGAAGAGCACCGGCCAACUACGUGCCAGCCAGCCGC